AGUAAAAUGUUUUGAAUACUUAUCCGUGUAAAGACGUUCUACACAAUAUUUGAUUAUUUUAAAUAUUUUUCAAGCAUGUGCUUUCGUAAUUAAAGUGAGAUGCCUCAGUUGGUAUCAGCAUUUUUGACUUGUUGUUGUUACUGAAUGUUAUUAUUUUUACUUCUAGUGAUAGUCUUUGCAUGAAUUGGCAGGUUCUGACAAAACAGUUCACGCCGAAUUUACUUAUUUCUACGGUAGAAUUAGUGGCUCAACGCCUUUGUCAAACUUCGGAGAUAUACUCUCCCCAACUUGCUUGAUUACCUCAAAUAUAAUGACAAAUAACAUAGAAUAUAUAGAUAUAUUUCUGAAAUUGCAUUUGAAAUUCGGCACUUCUUUGUCAUCCUUAAAAUUCACAUACUUCAAGUUUUCAAUCAUGUCCAGAUUCCUAAUGCACAUUUUAAGGUUACCUAUUUCCUUGCUUAUCCAGCUUGAAAGAAACUAUAAUCUGCAUUUGCAUUACUUGUCAUGGCAUCUUGGCAGCCAUAAAUGAUAUGUUGGCAGGGUUUGACUGUGGCUUGAUGUAUAGGGGAGGAGCGGUGACAGUUAGUGUAGCUCGCCCGAAACCAUGGGACUCUGAACAAAACCAAUGAUGAUUCAAUAAGCUUUUUUGCGAUGUUCCUUGACUUUUUAUGCAACUUGUGUUGUUGAGUAGGGCAUUGGUGUGAAGAGUCAAGGAAUAUCUUGCAUGUUGCUUACGACUGUCCACCUUCUCACAUGUUCACGCCACCUACACACAAACAUGAGCUCUGCAUCUUUUAUCUGCGAAAAAGUGAGUCAUUCCACUGAAGAUCGGAGGCUUCAUUAGGACUUCCAAUAUCAUGUGAUCUAUUUUAUUGUAAUGUACGAUCAGAAAUUUGAAAAUUUCGCUGAAAUUUCACAAAGAAUCGGCCAAAUCGCAUCAUAUCUGGUAUCCGAAAUUGACGCGGAUCAAAAAGAAGAUGGGUGAACUCCGGACGCUUUCCACCGCAUGCCUAAGUUCCUUCCAUCACGAAGUUGAAUUCAAUUCUUUUGGAGUUCGCUGGAGUGCUGGCAAUAUUGGCCUGGAAUUCCAUGACAAAGUAUGGCAAAAUGGAAUUUUGUGACCUAACUGGCCUAAAUUGAAACGUGAAAAUUUUAGUCUUCGACGACUUUGGCAGCUUCAAAAGAAAGUCUACUGGAGACAUCUGGUGCUAACUCUUCAUUCGAACAAAUCGAGUGGACCUCGCAGUUUCUUGCUCACCGUUCCUAACACGCUUGGUCCGCGUGGUGGCCCUAGCACCUGCUGGAACAGCGUUCUCAUGAGAGACAAUCUUCCCCAGCGAGUUCCGCACAGCACCUCAAAAAUUUUCAUCUCAGCUAUCUAGUCCUGGUGGACUUGCAUCAGCAGCUGCCAAUUCCUGGUGGACUUACAUCGGCAGCUGCCAAGUCUCAGUGGACUUACAUAGGUAGUUGCAAGUCCUGGUGGUCUUGCAUAGACAGUUGCCAAGUCCUGGUGGACUUACAUCGGCAGAUGCCAAGUCUCAAUGAACUUACAUCGGCAGCUGCCAUGCUCUGGUGGACUUACAUCGGCAGCUGCUAACUCCUGGUGGAUUUGCAUCGGCGGUUAGCGAGCCCUGGUGGACUUGCAUCGACAACUGUUUAAUUUUCCUUGGAUUUGGCAUCUGCAGUUAUCGCGUGUUCUCCUGCGGGUCUCUACGAUUCAGGAUUCGGGUCUCUACAAAUCAAUUGUAGCAGGUGGUGUAGGGAUAUGCUAUUUUUGUACUGAUAGAAGAGGAAACUGGUAUUAAAUACUUUUCGUAAUAUUUUUUUAACGAGUGUGGUCAUGAAUUUUGCUUCUUAAUAUUUCUAAGUUUUACAUGUUUGAUCGAAAUAUUUUAAUGGUCUUAUCACUACCAAAUGUUUUUACUCGUUCAGUCAUUCGAAAAAUAUUUAUGACUUCAAUUAGCAAUUCUACAGAUUAAUUAUGAUUUAAUUAUCAAUUUUAUGAAUUUGUUCAAUCGAUAUCAAUUUAUUUUAUCAGCUUUUUGAAAUUUUUGACUGUAUUUCUCGACUUCAUUUGUGUCAUUCUUCGCCGAAAUAAUUUUUUUGCAGACUCCAUGCAAGCGUUCCUCCUACAGCGCCUCCUUCGCGCCAUCAGCCAUCAGAGUACCCAGUGGCAUCAGCUGAUCUGCGUCAACAAUUGAGCGUCAUCAGCUGAUCUGCGUCAACAAUUGAGUGUCAUCAGCUGAUCUGCGUCAACAAUUGAGUUG